rnacentral:rRNA from 1 species
GAUGAACGCUAGCGAUAGGCUUAACACAUGCCAGUCGAGGGGCAGCAUGGUCUUAGCUUGCUAAGACUGAUGGCGACCGGCGCACGGGUGCGUAACGCGUAUGCAACUUGCCUCACAGAGGGGGAUAACCCGUCGAAAGACGGACUAAUACCGCGUACACUUGGGAUAGGGCAUCCUGACCCAAGGAAAUGAAAUUCGCUGUGAGAUAGGCAUGCGUCCCAUUAGCUAGUUGGUGAGGUAACGGCUCACCAAGGCGACGAUGGGUAGGGGAACUGAGAGGUUGAACCCCCACACUGGUACUGAGACACGGACCAGACUCCUACGGGAGGCAGCAGUGAGGAAUAUUGGUCAAUGGGCGAGAGCCUGAACCAGCCAAGUCGCGUGAAGGAUGACUGUCUUAUGGAUUGUAAACUUCUUUUAUACGGGAAUAACAAGAGUCACGUGUGGCUCCCUGCAUGUACCGUAUGAAUAAGCAUCGGCUAACUCCGUG